CCUACGGGAGGCAGCAGUGGGGAAUUUUGGACAAUGGGCGAAAGCCUGAUCCAGCCAUUCCGCGUGAGUGAAGAAGGCCUUCGGGUUGUAAAGCUCUUUCGCAAGGGAAGAAAACUUAGAUACUAAUAUUAUCUGAGGUUGACGGUACCUUGAUAAGAAGCACCGGCUAACUACGUGCCAGCAGCCGCGGUAAUACGUAGGGUGCGAGCGUUAAUCGGAAUUACUGGGCGUAAAGCGUGCGCAGGCGGUUUUGUAAGUCAGAUGUGAAAUCCCCGAGCUCAACUUGGGAACUGCGUUUGAAACUACAAGACUAGAAUAUGUCAGAGGGGGGUAGAAUUCCACGUGUAGCAGUGAAAUGCGUAGAGAUGUGGAGGAAUACCAAUGGCGAAGGCAGCCCCCUGGGAUAAUAUUGACGCUCAUGCACGAAAGCGUGGGGAGCAAACAGGAUUAGAUACCCUGGUAGUCCACGCCCUAAACGACGUCUACUAGUUGUUGGUGGAGUAAAAUCCAUGAGUAACGCAGCUAACGCGUGAAGUAGACCGCCUGGGGAGUACGGUCGCAAGNUUAAAACUUCAAAUUGAAUUGACGG
rnacentral:rRNA from 1 species